UCAGAGUUUGAUCCUGGCUCAGUGUGAAAAACUCCGGUGGUAUAAGAUGGACCCGCGUUGGAUUAGCUUGUUGGUGGGGCAACGGCCCACCAAGGCGACGAUCCAUAGCCGGCCUGAGAGGGUGAACGGCCACAUUGGGACUGAGACACGGCCCAGACUCCUACGGGAGGCAGCAUG
rnacentral:rRNA from 1 species